AGGUACAGCCACACUACCCUGAACGUGCCUAAUCUUGUCUGAUCUCAGAUGCUAAACAGGGUUCAGGCUGGUUAGUAUUUGGAUGGGAGUUCAGACAUUUUGAUUGAAUGUUUAUU
rnacentral:rRNA from 1 species